rnacentral:lncRNA from 1 species
CACAGUGACGAGUAACAGCAUUCUCCCUUCCCCAGGAUCUUGAGAAAUUUUUGGAAGGAAAAUACAUUUCCUGCUGUAUAUAGAAGAUGUGAUUUUAAAAUACGAUGAUGCUGACUGUUAUUAAAGGAACUGGUGGGUGGAAACAUCGGGAAUGCUUGGCAUGGACAUGAGGAGAACCCAGGUUGAUAUGACACAGAAUCCACCAAACAGAAUGGAUGCUGAUCAGAGUGAACACUGGCUGUUACUCAGGUGCUGUCAGCUGAGCAAUCUUGACAAUGCUCAAUGGUUUGACUUGAUGGGAUUGGAUCUUUGAAAAGGGAGUGCCACAGUUCAGAAAUUUUGCUCAUAUUUUGAUACGGCCUUUCAAAGCGAUUGUCUCACUAUGGACAGAAAAGAAACUGGGAGUCAAAGCUGAGCGAUGACUUGGACACCUGCCUGGCAUCCUCCUCUCCCCUCCCUGAACCACUGAAUCACACUGAUCCCAUCAAGAGUCCCCAAACACCUGAUUAAAGGUAAAUGAAAAAGACAUCCAUUCAAGAUUUCUGAAUGUAGUAUUGUUAUAAAGUAUCACGCUUUAUAAACUCAUAGUUUUAUCCCAUUUUCAUAUAUCCAGAUACCUUCUGAACUUUGUCUGAGUUCUCUACAGGCAUCUCAAGCUUGGUAUGUCCCAGGUUACUAGGGGGAGCAUUCUGAAAGUGGAAGCAAAGCCUUCAGUGGUUAAUCUUUCUCCCCGCCUUGGCUUAUCCAGGCUUCCCUCGUGGCUCAGAAGUUAAAGCAUCUGCCUGGAAUGUGGGAGACCGGGGUUCGAUCCCUGGGUCGGGAAGAUCCCCUGGAGAAGGAAAUGGCAACCCACUCCAGUACUCUUGCCUGGAGAAUCCCAUGGAGGGAGGAGCCUGGUAGGCUAUAGUCCAUGGGGUUGUAAAGAGUUGGACACGACUGAGUGACUUCAUUUGGCUUAUCCAGCUCUAUUCAGGAUAGUGUUUAAAUUAGGGCAUUAAGCUAUUGUGGCAUGUUUUCUAUUCUUUUUUUAAAAAAAUUUAUUGGAGUAUAGUUGAUUUACAAUAUUGUGUUAGUUUGAUGUGUAUAGCAGAGUGAAUCAGUUAUACAUAUACAUAUAUACAUGUAUACAUAUACAUCCCCUCUUUUUUAGAGGGGCUAUAUCCCAUUCUUUUCUCAUAUAAGCCAUUAUAGAGUAUGGAGUAGAGUGUUCCCCUGUGCUAUACAGUAUGUUCUUAUUAAUUUGUGGCAUGUUUUUUUAAAACUUUGGAUUUCAAGGACUUUAUUUCUAGUUCUGUUUGAAUGGAUAUUUAUAACAUAUGAGUGAAAAGGCUGUUCUGUAAGAGAUGCACAGAAAUGUCUGUUUAACCUAAGAGGCAGGACUUACAUUGAGCCAACUAAGUCAUUGUACGGCCUCCCACAGAACCAAAGAGCUCUUAUCCUAUUGUUCACAACGGAGUCAAAACUCUCAUGAGUUCUAUUUAGGGCCCAGAUGGGCCAGUGACAUCAUCAGCAGUUGAGUCUACAAGGUAAUACUUAAGCUCUCAUUUCUGGAGUCAGACCAACAAGGAUCCAAAUGCUGGCUCUUUUACCCACACCAGCCGUGAGACCUCAGGCAGUCAUGUAAACUUUCUGACCUUUAGUUACUUCAUUUGUAAAAUGGGAGGUAAAAUAACUGCCUCAUAAAGUUGUUGUAAGGAUUUAAUGAGACACUGCAUUUAAAGUCUUUGGUGCAGGGUAAACACUUGUACCACGUUAUUUAAUUUAGAGUAUUGAUAUGAUCUUGGGCAAGUCAUUUAUCCUCUUUAAGCCUCAAUUUCUUCCUUGAUAAAAUGGAGAUAAUGCUCACCAUUGUGCUUUUAGGUUCCACCAUAAAGUCUGGCACAGUAGAUGCUCAAAAACAUUUCUUAAUAAACAAAUGGUUGAAUGAGGGGGAGGAGAGAAA